UACGUAGGUGGCAAGCGUUGUCCGGAUUUACUGGGCGUAAAGAGCGCGCAGGCGGUCGUUCAAGUCGCGUGUGAAAGCCCCCGGCUCAACUGGGGAGGGUCACGCGAUACUGAUCGACUCGAAGGCAGGAGAGGGUAGUGGAAUUCCCGGUGUAGUGGUGAAAUGCGUAGAGAUCGGGAGGAACACCUGUGGCGAAGGCGGCCGACUGGGCCGACCCUGACGCUGAGGCGCGAAGGCGUGGGGAGCGAACGGG
rnacentral:rRNA from 1 species